AGAGUUUGAUCCUGGCUCAGAACGAACGCUGGCGGCGCGUUUUAAGCAUGCAAGUCGAACGGUAGACCGGUGCUUGCACUGGUUGAGAGUGGCGAACGGGUGAGUAACACGUAGGUAAUCUACCUUGAAGUUGGGGAUAGCCUGUGGAAACACAGGGUAAUACCGAAUAAUGUCGGGUAACUGAAGAAAGAGGCUAUGGCCUCGCUUUAAGAUGAGCCUGCGGCUCAUUAGCUAGUUGGUAGGGUAAAGGCCUACCAAGGCGACGAUGAGUAGCCGACCUGAGAGGGUGACCGGCCACACUGGGACUGAGACACGGCCCAGACUCCUACGGGAGGCAGCAGCUAAGAAUCUUCCGCAAUGGUCGAAAGACUGACGGAGCGACGCCGCGUGGACGAUGAAGGCCGGAAGGUUGUAAAGUCCUUUUAUUGGAGAAGAAUAAGUGCAGGAGGGAAUGCCUGCAUGAUGACGUUAUCCUAUGAAUAAGCCCCGGCUAAUUACGUGCCAGCAGCCGCGGUAACACGUAAGGGGCAAGCGUUGUUCGGAAUUAUUGGGCGUAAAGGGCGCGUAGGCGGCUAUGAAAGUCUGGUGUGAAAGGCCACAGCUUAACUGUGGGAGUGCACUGGAAACUACAUGGCUAGAGUUCAAGAGGGGAAGUUGGAAUUCCUGGUGUAGGGGUGAAAUCUGUAGAUAUCAGGAAGAACACCUGUGGCGAAGGCGGCCCCCUGGACCAAUACUGACGCUGAGGUACGAAAGCGUGGGUAGCGAACAGGAUUAGAUACCCUGGUAGUCCACGCCGUAAACGAUGUCAACUAGCCGUUGGGACCUUGAGGUUUCAGUGGUGCAGCUAACGCGUGAAGUUGACCGCCUGGGGAGUACGGCCGCAAGGCUAAAACUCAAAUGAAUUGACGGGGGCCCGCACAAGCGGUGGAGCAUGUGGUUUAAUUCGAUGCAACGCGAAGAACCUUACCUACCCUUGACAUCAUCAGAACUUGUUAGAGAUAACUCGGUGCCUUCGGGAACUGAAUGACAGGUGCUGCAUGGCUGUCGUCAGCUCGUGUCGUGAGAUGUUGGGUUAAGUCCCGCAACGAGCGCAACCCUUAUCCUUAGUUGCCAGCACAUAAUGGUGGGAACUCUAAGGAGACUGCCGGUGAUAAACCGGAGGAAGGUGGGGAUGACGUCAAGUCAUCAUGGCCCUUAUGGGUAGGGCUACACACGUGCUACAAUGGCCAGUACAAAGGGCAGCCAACUCGCGAGAGUGCGCAAAUCCCAUAAAGCUGGUCGUAGUCCGGAUUGGAGUCUGCAACUCGACUCCAUGAAGUUGGAAUCGCUAGUAAUCGUGAAUCAGAAUGUCACGGUGAAUACGUUCCCGGGCCUUGUACACACCGCCCGUCACACCAUGGGAGUGGGCUGCAAAAGAAGUGGGUAGUUUAACCUUCGGGAGAACGCUCACCACUUUGUGGUUCAUGACUGGGGUGAAGUCGUAACAAGGUA
rnacentral:rRNA from 1 species